rnacentral:rRNA from 1 species
GACGAACGCUGGCGGCGUGCUUAACACAUGCAAGUCGAACGGAAAGGCCCUGCUUUUGUGGGGUGCUCGAGUGGCGAACGGGUGAGUAACACGUGAGUAACCUGCCCUUGACUUUGGGAUAACUUCAGGAAACUGGGGCUAAUACCGGAUAGGAGCUCCUGCUGCAUGGUGGGGGUUGGAAAGUUUCGGCGGUUGGGGAUGGACUCGCGGCUUAUCAGCUUGUUGGUGGGGUAGUGGCUUACCAAGGCUUUGACGGGUAGCCGGCCUGAGAGGGUGACCGGCCACAUUGGGGCUGAGAUACGGCCCAGACUCCUACGGGAGGCAGCAGUGGGGAAUAACGCACAAUGGGCGGAGGCCUGAUGCAGCAACGCCGCGUGCGGGAUGACGGCCUUCGGGUUGUAGUCCGCUUUCGCCUGUGACGAAGCGUGAGUGGCGGUAAUGGGUAAAGAAGCACCGGCUAACUACGUG